CCAUCCUACGGGACGCAGCGGUCGGGAAUAUUGCGCAAUGGAGGAAACUCUGACGCAGUGACGCCGCGUGCAGGAAGAAGGUUUUCGGAUUGUAAACUGCUUUAGACAGGGAAGAAAGAAAUGACGGUACCUGUAGAAUAAGCUCCGGCUAACUACGUGCCAGCAGCCGCGGUAAUACGUAGGGAGCGAGCGUUAUCCGGAUUUAUUGGGUGUAAAGGGUGCGUAGACGGG
rnacentral:rRNA from 1 species